rnacentral:rRNA from 1 species
UACGUAGGGUGCGAGCGUUAUUCGGAAUUACUGGGCGUAAAGCGUGCGCAGGCGGUUGUGUAAGACAGACGUGAAAUCCCCGGGCUCAACCUGGGAACUGCGUUUGUGACUGCACGGCUAGAGUACGGCAGGAGGGGGGUGGAAUUCCACGUGUAGCAGUGAAAUGCGUAGAGAUGUGGAGGAACACCGAUGGCGAAGGCACGCCCCCUGGGCCAGUACUGACGCUCAUGCACGAAAGCGUGGGGAGCAAACAGG